rnacentral:lncRNA from 1 species
UAAGGGAGAUAUGUAUUUUACGAAAUUAGUUUCAAUGAUCUAUGACACACCCCGACCCGGAAAGUCCAUUAGGACUCCGAAUCGAGCUGUGCUGGCUGACACUUGAAAGGUGACGAAGCCAUAAAAUGUGAUGAUGUAGAAAAAUUGUGAAUAAAUUUAAACCUAAGAGUGCCUAAAUACUAGAGUGCACUGGUGAGCGGGAAUAACCCACUGCACACGUGAUGUUAGAGCAUAAGUAAGUACAUAAGAGUGAAUUGGGAAUCAUACCCUUGAAAUAAUUUCCAGUACUAAGGAUCGCCAUGAACCUUCGACGAUAAGAAAGCUCAGCUAAGAAGACCUGGAGGGUGAAGACAAGACAAAUGUGAGUGGCCUAGUAGAUAAAAUUUUAAUAUAAACCAUAUAAAUUUCUAUAACCCCUCGUUACAACGCCUGUGUAAUUUCCAGAAUUAGAAUAUAUAUAUAUAUCAAUUCAAGUCAUGCUUCACCUAUUUAUAAUCAUAUGCUAACUUAUCGCAUAUUCAUCACGUUUGCUAGCUUAUCACGUAUUCACCACAUAUGCUAGCUCAUCAUGUAUAUUCAUUAUAUAUGCUAGCAUUUCAUCACAUAUAGGCUAGCAUCUAAGUCGGAGUCAACUUUAGUGAACUAUAUGACAUAUUCAUAUCUCAUCACAUAUCUCAUCAAUCAUGACUAGCAUAUAAGUAGGAGUCACCUCUAGUGACCUAUACGACAUAUUCAUAUCUCAUCACAUAUCUCAGCAAUCAUGGCUAGCAUAUAAGUCAGAGUCACCUCUAGUGACCUAUACGACAUAUUCAUAUCUCAUCACAUAUCUCAGCAAUCAUAACUAGCAUAUAAGUCGGAGUCACCUUUAAUGACCUAUACGACAUAUUCAUAUCUCAUCACUGAUACGAGCAUAUUUAUGCGACUUAGUUGACUUGUUCUUGUGCAUUUAUGUCGUGUUUCCUUAGUUAUUUUAAUGUUUAAAGUCAUUUUCGUGUGUUUUCAGA